rnacentral:rRNA from 1 species
AGUGAACGCUGGCGGUAGGCCUAACACAUGCAAGUCGAACGGCAGCACAGUAAGAGCUUGCUCUUACGGGUGGCGAGUGGCGGACGGGUGAGGAAUACAUCGGAAUCUACUUUUUCGUGGGGGAUAACGUAGGGAAACUUACGCUAAUACCGCAUACGACCUACGGGUGAAAGCAGGGGAUCUUCGGACCUUGCGCGAUUGAAUGAGCCGAUGUCGGAUUAGCUAGUUGGCGGGGUAAAGGCCCACCAAGGCGACGAUCCGUAGCUGGUGUGAGUGAAUGGUCGCCCACAUGAGAACGUGGACACGGUCCAUAGUCCUACGGGAGGCAGCAGUGGGGAAUAUUGGACAGUGGGGGCGAGCCUGGUCCAGCCAUACCGCGUGGGUGAAGGAGGCCUUCGGGUUGUAAAGCCCUUUUGUUGGGAAAGAAAAGCAGCAGGUUAAUACCCCGCUGUUCUGACGGUACCCAAUGAAUAAGCACCGGCUAACUUCGUG